AGGGUUUGUGGGAAACAGGGCACCCCCCUGUUGCCCAGAGAGGAAUCAUGGAAUCCUGAUUCUAUGGUGCUUAACCUGCACUGCCAAGUGCACCACUGAGCCAUGUGUAAAUGGUACACAUCUUUUAAACACCUCCAGUGAUGGUGACCCAACCCCUUCUCUGGGGACUCACCAGUAGCUCCAUCACCAGUUCUCCCUGUAGCAGUGGGCACAAUGCACCUUCUCACAGUGCAGGCCAGGAAAACCCAACAGAUCACCCCACCCAUGCUGCAGAAAAACUUUCAGCUGAUUGUGGAGCUGAAAUUCUAGUCAGCAGGCUCUACAAUGCCUGCAGCUAACUCUAACCUUGACACGAACUGAACGAAGAUAUUUUGCAGAAAAGAAAUAAUGAAGCAACCUGACUUGCAACAGGAGAACAAUGUUUUGGAAACCAUGAAAGCAGCCUGUUUGCCACAGUUACAAAGAAAAAGUAUAAUUGGACCUGGAUUUCAAGAUGUUGAGGAGAUACAUAUUGAUUUUGACUCUUCUGAAAAAUAAAUUGGCCUUUAAUC